UUAGGGGCUAUUUGUUCAUUAUUAUGCAAAUUUAUCGUGCUUUAUUAUUCAGUAUUUUUAGAAUUAUACCAAUCUUCUUUUAUCCUAGAAUCUGUGGAGUAGCAAGAAGUUCCUCUGCGUGAGAACAUGUUUGAAUAUUCGGGUAAAACCGGCAGUUCGUUUGCCAAAGGACGAGUUCGGAGGAAGAGAAGGAAAGUCACGUGACCUACGUGAGGCCAGAUGACGUAGGUGACGUCAUGACAUCGUGACUUUUUCCCGCGAAAAUAAUUAAACUUGAAGAGCUCUUUUGUAGUUUGUGGGCUCUUGUUCCCUGAUAUUGGAAAGUAACUGUAACAACUCGGCCUACAUUUUAGAGGCCUUCAGAGGACUUGAUUCUGGUGCCUAAGGUGGUAGAAUCACAGCCUCACAGCACUGGUCUCUUCAAUUCAGGUCCUACUAGUCCACAACUCUAACCACCAACAUGAGCGACAAGCCUGACUUGAGCGAAGUUUCCAAGUUUGACAAGUCCAAGCUCAAGAAGACUGAAACAUCAGUCAAGAAUACACUACCAACUAAAGAAGCUAUUGAACAAGAAAAGCAGACUGUUCAACAGCAGUAAGAUGACGUCUGCGGCCGCCCAAGUUUUUUACAGCUGUAGUCAAGCAACCAUCCAGCCAAUCCAAGUUGCCAUCCACUAAGUGUCUUUCCUGCAUCAUCAGUCUGGCUUCCCACAACUUCAACCAGAACAUGCUUCCCCCGGCUAUAACAAUGGCACCAGCAAACACAAACUUGUAGCCGUUUUCCGCAUUAUGCAACCGUAAAAGCCAUUCGUAUUUGUAAAACUUCUUGGGUCAUCUGAAUGUACUUCAAGUGCUGUUACAGCAGUGUUGAGUGCAACCAUUCAGUGUAACAUAAACAUUUAAAUCAUUUUACCUUGCAAGUGUUAUAGAUUACUUCUUCUUAUACCAAUUAUAUCAAAGCCAUUAUAGUCUACAAACAUUGACUUCGCACAUGUUUAUAAAUAAUUGCCUUUCCUUAUUAUUCUACAAUUCAGUUGAGUCAAAUCUCUGUUACAUUCGUUCUACAUAGAUUAUGCCAAUGAACUAUUUGUCAGUAAUUAACGGAUAUUCUACAAUGCAUUUUUUAACAUGUUUUUGUACCACCAAGCGGAUUGUUCAAUCAAAACAGUUGGAAGAAGUUGUGGCAUUGUAACAGUAGCAUGUUAGCAAUGUUCAAGGGGUUAAGGUUCGUAACAGUCAAAUAAGUUGUAAUAGGUGAUGUACUUGAUUGAAAGGAUGAUUCUGGUGUUGAAUGCCAGAAAGUUGUUGAUGCCACUUGAUGUGACUGUGAGAAAGGUUCCAAAAGUCCCCAAAUAUCUAUUGUACUGUGAAAGACUGUAGAGUCCAAGAAUACAAGUCUUUGUGAUACAUGUGGUAGUUUUUGCUGCCCUUUGUUCCCAGGUCUUGAACAGUUGAUGGACAAACAUUGAUAUGCAACCAUUCUUAGACUAUUUGUGCAGAAUAGGGCUAUGUAAUUGUUGUCUCUGUCAGAAAUGGCUCUAAAUGCAACCAGUUUAGUCCAAUUGUUUCAGUUAUCUGUGCACUGUUGUAAUGAUGACACAUGACCAUGUAACCAAUCAUGAAAGUGGAAUACUAAUUUCAAUGCUUGAUCAAUGUGUUCCAAAAUUGAACUUCUUGCUGCAUUAAAACAUCCUUUUUUUGAAGAAAAAAUAUUA